GACGAACGCUGGCGGCGUGCUUAAUACAUGCAAGUCGAGCGGGGUUAUAGCGAUGGAGUCUUUCGGGAUGAAGUGGUUAUAACCUAGCGGCGGACGGGUGAGUAACGCGUGGGUAACCUACCCUAGAGUCUGGGAUAACACCGGGAAACUGGUGCUAAUACCGGAUGACUUUUGGACAAGGCAUCUUGUUUAAAAGAAGGGAACGCUCUAGGAUGGACCUGCGUCCCAUUAGCUAGUUGGUGAGGUAACGGCUCACCAAGGCGACGAUGGGUAGCCGGCCUGAGAGGGUGACCGGCCACACUGGGACUGAGACACGGCCCAGACUCCUACGGGAGGCAGCAGUAGGGAAUUUGGACAAUGGACGAAAGUCUGAUCCAGCAAUGCCGCGUGCAGGACGAAGGCCUUCGGGUGUAAACCUCUUUCAGUAGGACGAAGCGAAAGUGACGGUACCUACAGAAGAAGGACCGGCCAACUACGUG
rnacentral:rRNA from 1 species